AACUGAUGCUCUACGAACAUUACAAAUUGUUAAAAAAAAAUACUCUAGUAGUUAUAACUAUUUUUUUUAUUUUAAAUUUCCUUUUGUUUUUUAAAUAAUAUAAUUAUAUUAUUGCACACAAAAAAAACUUAUGAUAUGGUCAUAAUUAACUCAAUUGAGAUAGUUACAUACAUAUACAAAUGCGACAUAAAUUAAUAAAUUUCAAAAGUUAAUAUUGUAUAUUGGGUAUAUAAGGGAAAAGUCAAACCGAGAAUCGGAAAUCAUUAGGUUUGGGGUAUUGGAGCUUAGAUCACAGUCUAAAUCGAUUUCAUUCAUAUUUAGCGUUAAAUAAUAAUGGUUGUUUCAAUAUAUUUAUUUCAAUUGACCUCAAUAACGCAACGGUACACGUUUGACAAUCAAAACGAUUACGCUGAAAAAUAAUAGGUGAACUAAUUUUCAACCGCAGAUUAUGUUAGUGUAUCUAGAUAAUUUAGAAAUAAAAUUUGAAAAAGUAUAUAUGUAUUAAUUUUCAUCAACAAUAAUAAGUGUUUUAAAAUACUUCUCAUCGCCAGCUAAGAACUGUUGCAUCUGGAAAUUUAUUUCGUUAACAUCUACAUUUCUGACCGCUAAUGUAAUCCGAUUAUUGAGCCACGUGUACAUGUAAUUAAUUUUAAUUUCCGGAAUACUCUCAAUUAAUCAAUUUUUUUCGUGAACUGCAUGCAGAAAUUGUCUAGCUGCUUAAUGUAAUGAGUGUUUGACUGCAGUUCUAUAAACAAAAGGAACAAUGAUAAUACAUCAACCGCUUGCUUUAUGAAACUGAGUAUAACCAGAUAUGUGCGAUAGCCGAACUAAGCUCACUGCGUUGCUACAGGUUGCUACCACUGAAAAUCCAAGAUGGCCGCUAUUCACCCCCCAGAAAGCUACCACGAAAA